AUCCAACUGACGAGCCCCAAAUAGGACGAAACGCGCAUCCUGGAU
rnacentral:hammerhead_ribozyme from 1 species